rnacentral:rRNA from 1 species
AGCAUAUCAAUAAGCGGAGGAAAAGAAACCAACAGGGAUUGCCCUAGUAACGGCGAGUGAAGCGGCAACAGCUCAAAUUUGAAAUCUGGUUCCUUCCGGGGCCCGAGUUGUAAUUUGUAGAGGGUGCUUUGGCGUUGGCCAUGGUCUAAGUUCCUUGGAACAGGACGUCACAGAGGGUGAGAAUCCCGUACGUGGCCGUUGGCCUUCGCCAUGUAAAGCCCCUUCGACGAGUCGAGUUGUUUGGGAAUGCAGCUCUAAAUGGGAGGUAAAUUUCUUCUAAAGCUAAAUAUUGGCCAGAGACCGAUAGCGCACAAGUAGAGUGAUCGAAAGAUGAAAAGCACUUUGGAAAGAGAGUCAAAAAGCACGUGAAAUUGUUGAAAGGGAAGCGCUUGCAGCCAGACUUGCCCGUAGUCGCUCAUCUAGGCUUCUGCCUGGUGCACUCUUCUGCGGGCAGGCCAGCAUCAGUUCAGGCGGUCGGAUAAAGGUCUUGGGAAUGUGGCUCUCUUCGGGGAGUGUUAUAGCCCAGGGCGCAAUGCGACCAGCCUGGACUGAGGUCCGCGCAUCUGCUAGGAUGCUGGCGUAAUGGCUGUAAGCGGCCCGUCUUGAAACACGGACCAAGGAGUCUAACAUCUAUGCGAGUGUUUGGGUGUCAAGCCCGAGCGCGCAAUGAAAGUGAACGGAGGUGGGAACCCGCAAGGGCGCACCAUCGACCGAUCCUGAUGUCUUCGGAUGGAUUUGAGUAAGAGCAUAGCUGUUGGGACCCGAAAGAUGGUGAACUAUGCCUGAAUAGGGUGAAGCCAGAGGAAACUCUGGUGGAGGCUCGCAGCGGUUCUGACGUGCAAAUCGAUCGUCAAAUUUGGGCAUAGGGGCGAAAGACUAAUCGAACUAUCUAGUAGCUGGUUCCUGCCGAAGUUUCCCUCAGGAUAGCAGUAACGUUUUCAGUUUUAUGAGGUAAAGCGAAUGAUUAGAGGCCUGGGGGUUGAAACAACCUUCACCUAUUCUCAAACUUUAAAUAUGUAAGAAGUCCUUGUUACUUAAUUGAACGUGGACAUUUGAAUGUACCGUUACUAGUGGGCCAUUUUUG